rnacentral:rRNA from 1 species
GAUGAACGCUAGCGACAGGCCUAACACAUGCAAGUCGAGGGGCAGCACGGGUAGCAAUACCUGGUGGCGACCGGCGCAAGGGUGCGUAACGCGUGAGCAACAUGCCCUAUACAGGGGGAUAAUCCAGGGAAACUUGGUCUAAUAUCCCAUAGUAUUUAGAGGAGGCAUCUUCUAUAAAUUAAAGCUUCGGUGGUAUAGGAUUGGCUCGCGUGACAUUAGCUAGAUGGUGAGGUAACGGCUCACCAUGGCAAUGAUGUCUAGGGGUUCUGAGAGGAAGGCCCCCCACACUGGGACUGAGACACGGCCCAGACUCCUACGGGAGGCAGCAGUGAGGAAUAUUGGACAAUGGAUGGAAAUCUGAUCCAGCCAUGCCGCGUGCAGGAAGACAGCCCUAUGGGUUGUAAACUGCUUUUAUAUGGGAGCAAUAAGGUCUACGUGUAGACUGAUGAGAGUACCAUAUGAAUAAGC